CUCUUUCUUGAUUUUGUGGGUGGUGGUGCAUGGCCGUUCUUAGUUGGUGGAGUGAUUUGUCUGCUUAAUUGCGAUAACGAACGAGACCUUAACCUGCUAAAUAGCCAGGCCCGCUUUGGCGGGUCGCCGGCUUCUUAGAGGGACUAUCGGCUCAAGCCGAUGGAAGUUUGAGGCAAUAACAGGUCUGUGAUGCCCUUASAUGUUCUGGGCCGCACGCGCGCUACACUGACAGAGCCAACGAGUUCAUUUCCUUAGCCGAAAGGUUUGGGUAAUCUUGUUAAACUCUGUCGUGCUGGGGAUAGAGCAUUGCAAUUAUUGCUCUUCAACGAGGAAUGCCUAGUAAGCGCAUGUCAUCAGCAUGCGUUGAUUACGUCCCUGCCCUUUGUACACACCGCCCGUCGCUACUACCGAUUGAAUGGCUCGGUGAGGCCUUCGGNCUGGCCCAGGGAGGUCGGCAACGACCACCCAGGGCCGGAAAGUUGGUCAAACCNGGUCAUUUAGAGGAAGUAAAAGUCGUAAC
rnacentral:rRNA from 1 species